rnacentral:rRNA from 1 species
UGGGGAAUAUUGCACAAUGGGCGCAAGCCUGAUGCAGCCAUGCCGCGUGUAUGAAGAAGGCCUUCGGGUUGUAAAGUACUUUCAGCGGGGAGGAAGGCGAUAAGGUUAAUAACCUUGUCGAUUGACGUUACCCGCAGAAGAAGCACCGGCUAACUCCGUGCCAGCAGCCGCGGUAAUACGGAGGGUGCAAGCGUUAAUCGGAAUUACUGGGCGUAAAGCGCACGCAGGCGGGCUGUCAAGUCGGAUGUGAAAUCCCCGGGCUCAACCUGGGAACUGCAUUCGAAACUGGCAGGCUAGAGUCUUGUAGAGGGGGGUAGAAUUCCAGGUGUAGCGGUGAAAUGCGUAGAGAUCUGGAGGAAUACCGGUGGCGAAGGCGGCCCCCUGGACAAAGACUGACGCUCAGGUGCGAAAGCGUGGGGAGCAAACA